CCGGCCUUCGGGCCGGUGAAAGUGGCGCACGGGUGAKUAACACGUGGAUAAUCUACCCGAUGAUCCGGGAUAACAUCUCGAAAGGGGUGCUAAUACCGGGUAAGCCCACGGACUCUUCGGAGUUUGCGGGAAAAGGUGGGGACCUUCGGGCCUACCGUCAUCGGAUGAGUCCGCGGCCCAUUAGCUAGUUGGUAGGGUAACGGCCUACCAAGGCAACGAUGGGUAGCUGGUCUGAGAGGAUGAUCAGCCACACUGGAACUGARACACGGUCCAGACUCCUACGGGAGGCAGCWGUGGGGAAUUUUGCGCAAUGGGCGAAAGCCUGACGCAGCAACGCCGCGUGAGUGAUGAAGGCCUUCGGGUCGUAAAGCUCUGUCAGAGGGGAAGAACCACCCAUCGGUUAAUAUCCGGUGGGCCUGACGG
rnacentral:rRNA from 2 species